GGGCGGAAUGCAGCGAACGAUCAGCCGCGCGCAAUGCCGCGCUGCAAGGUGCGGCAGCGGACUGUAAAUCCGCCGGGGAGACCCAUGCCUGGUUCGAUUCCAGGGUCGCCCACCA
rnacentral:tRNA from 1 species